CGUGUAGGCGGCGUCCUAAGUCUGAUGUGAAAGCCCGGGGCUUACCCCCGGAAGUGCAUUGGAAACUGGGAGGCUAGAGUACCGGAGAGGAAGGUGGAAUUCCUGGUGUAGCGGUGAAAUGCGUAGAUAUCAGGAGGAACACCGGUGGCGAAGGCGGCCUUCUGGACGGAUACUGACGCUGAGACGCGAAAGCGUGGGGAGCAAACAGGAUUAGAUACCCUGGUAGUCCACGCUGUAAACGAUGGGCACUAGGUGUUCGGGGUAUUGACCCCCUGAGUGCCGCAGCUAACGCAUUAAGUGCCCCGCCUGGGGACUACGGCCGCAAGGUUAAA
rnacentral:rRNA from 1 species